CCUACGGGCGGCUGCAGUGAGGAAUAUUGGUCAAUGGACGAGAGUCUGAACCAGCCAAGUAGCGUGAAGGAUGACUGCCCUAUGGGUUGUAAACUUCUUUUAUAUGGGAAUAAAAUGUUCCACGUGUGGGAUUUUGUAUGUACCAUAUGAAUAAGGAUCGGCUAACUCCGUGCCAGCAGCCGCGGUAAUACGGAGGAUCCGAGCGUUAUCCGGAUUUAUUGGGUUUAAAGGGACCGUAGGUGGAGUGUUAAGUCAGUUGUGAAAGUUUGCGGCUCAACCGUAAAAUUGCAGUUGAAACUGGCAGUCUUGAGUACAGUAGAGGUGGGCGGAAUUCGUGGUGUAGCGGUGAAAUGCUUAGAUAUCACGAAGAACUCCGAUUGCGAAGGCAGCUCACUGGACUGCAACUGACACUGAGGCUCGAAAGUGUGGGUAGCAAACAGGAUUAGAUACCCCAGUAGUC
rnacentral:rRNA from 1 species